GGCUCGUUGGUCUAGGGGUAUGUUUCCUGCUUUGGGUGCAGGAGGUCCAGGGUUCAAAUCCCGGACGAGCCC